GGUACAAUGAGCCAACCAAAUUUACAAUGUGGUUUCUUUUUUGAAUAGUUUGGAUUUGACCCAACCUCUACGUAGGAAGAAGGCUGAAGAGACCGAGGCUCGAGUCGACGAAGAAGAAAACUAUGCUCGAGAUGGUUGUAAGAU